rnacentral:rRNA from 1 species
UACGGGGGGGAGCAAGCGUUGUUCGGAUUUACUGGGCGUAAAGGGCGCGUAGGCGGUAGCACAAGUCAGUUGUGAAAUCUCCGGGCUUAACUCGGAAAGGUCAACUGAUACUGUGCGACUAGAGUGCAGAAGGGGCAACUGGAAUUCUCGGUGUAGCGGUGAAAUGCGUAGAUAUCGAGAGGAACACCUGCGGCGAAGGCGGGUUGCUGGGCUGACACUGACGCUGAGGCGCGAAAGCCAGGGGAGCGAACGGG